CUUUCCCUCUUUCUGCAGGCCUAACACAUGCAAGUCGAACGAGUGGCGGACGGGUGAGUAAUGUCUGGGAAACUGCCCGAUGGAGGGGGAUAACUACUGGAAAAGGUAGCUAAUACCGCAUACAAUCGGAUGUGCCCAGAUGGGAGUAGCUAGUAGGUGGGGUACCUUCUCACCUAGGCGACGAUCCCUAGCUGGUCUGAGAGGAUGACCAGCAACCAGGGAAAGGAGACACGGUCCAGACUCCUACGGGAGGCAGCAGUGGUGAAUAUUGCACAAUGGGCGCAAGCCUGAUGCAGCCAUGCCGCGUGUAUGAAGAAGGCCUUCGGGUUGUAAAGUACUUUCAGCGAGGAGGCGUUACUCGCAGAAGAAGCACCGGCUAACUCCGUGCCAGCAGCCGCGGUAAUUC
rnacentral:rRNA from 1 species